UAGCAGCAGAUCCACUAAAUAGAAGA
rnacentral:piRNA from 1 species